UUCCCACGUGUGGGAUCAAUAAAGUAUCUCUGAUUCUGAUUCUGAUUUCAGUUUCUGUGGUUCAUCAAGAGUUUAGCGCUCAGGUGAAGCUCCGCCCCUCAGCUUUCAUCCCCCCCUGUUUAUCUCUCAGCAGUUCUGUCAGAAUCCAGAACCGCUUCAUGAUCUUACAGCAGAACCAGACACAGAACUGUUUCCAGUUUCCAGAGAACCUCGGAGGUCCACUCAGCACCAAGCUCCCCUUAGGACCGAGGUUCUGUGCAUUCAGAGCUCCAAAUCCAGAUCCUGCUGGAUGAAACCGGGUUUAGAUCUUUCCUCCAACAUUUGCAGCCGGACGCCGUGCACGUUCCCCAGCAGCUCAGAACCUCUUCUUUAGAACCUGUUCAUCAGCGUUGGCGAGGGUUUGUAUUUGUCUGAGCGUACGACAGCAAACGCCGUAUAAAUGCACGGACACGCGCUGGAAUGUGAGCGUGCACGUGUGUAGAUGCAUGCAUGUUUGCGCAUCCGCAUGCAGCAGGAUGAGGCGAUGCAGAUGGGAAUGUUUGUCAGACUCCUGAGAAAGUGCUGACGCUGAAACAUCUGCCUCCUUUCACUUCUGGUUUUCACCAUCUGCCAGGCUCAGACUCGCACGGCAUUGUGGGAUGUGGACGGUGGUUUGCAAGUCAGCAGAAAGCGAGCGAGCGGUGAGUAACGCUUUCUAAUGAUGCGCCCAGGGGUCACGGCUGCUGGUGUGCAGCCUGGAUCAGCCUCUGGGCCCAGAGGAGAACCGUGGAACCAACAGAACCUUUCUGGAAACUCCUCCAUGUGUUGGGGGUGCACAGGUGUGGGCGGGGCUAAAAACACCAGUUCUGCACAGAUUUGACAAACCUGUUUGUCAUAAAGAUCUCAUUCUGGAGAGCAAAGUGGCUGGUCCUUAAAUAAUUCCAUCUUCUGACGGUUGAUGGACCUGAGGAGGAUUUUCUGCUGAGUCACAGGAUUCUGUCCUCAUGAAAGGAACCAGCAGCAAGGUUCUGAAAUUCUGAAGCUCCACUGAAGAAGACUCUGGAUGAAGGUGUUAAAAGAUCCCGGCAACAUUAAGCUGCGUUAGCAUUAGUUCGUGGAUGAUCCUUAGUUCCAUGGUUCUCUUCAGUCUGUAACUGAAGUCAGAACUCGAUGCUGAGUCAUGAAACGUGACCUCAGCGGUUGGCGCCGGCUAAGCUAACCGCUAGUCUUCAGAACAGAGGAUGCUGACGGCACGUCGCCACAUCUUCAUCCAGUCCGCCGAAGUUUUGCUUUGACUCCAUCAGAGAGCCAAACUCUGCAAAGGUUCAAAACAAAAACAGGAGAAAAGGGGCGGAGCUACGUGGGGGGAACUGAGAGUCUCAUUUCGUGUCAGCGCCUCUUUUUUUCCUCUUCCUCUGGGUGUCAGCCGCCAUGUUCGCUGAAGGCCGGGUUAGUGAAGGACAUCUUCCUGUCACCUCUGUCGCUGCUGUUAAAACUGGCGGCGUUGUCAUAGCAACAUUUGAAAAAUGGGCGGAGUUAAGAGAAUGCAGCAUCAUUUAAGGGUCAAACUGCAGUUUUCAGGAAAAAUGAGCGAGUGGCGGAGAUGCUGCUGAUGUGCAGCUGAUCUGCAGCCAGCAUGACUCAGCGCUUUGGGAGGACGCAGACGUGCGUCUGCAUCGUCUGCAGCCUGUUUACAGUGAAGGCUGCAGACUAUUUAAAGUCCUGCUGUAUUUGUGUCAGGCGUACACAGAGCGCAGGAGCCGGCGGGGCCCCGGCCGCCGCUGCGGUUCUGUCCGGGUCACGUCAGGUUACAGGAGUUUGCUGGAAGAAGAAAACAAUAACAGGUCGGGCUGCGGCAUCAUCAGCGACCAGAGCCGAGCGGAGUCUGACCCGGGACGACCGCAGAGGCUCCAUCCAUCACAGCUUCGGUUCAGCUCAGGGACAAAAGGCCGAGGAGCAAAGACACCGCUGAAGGUCUCGGUGUCGAGUCUGUCGCAAAACGUACAAAAAGAAAACCAUCAUGACAAUAACGCAGCGUCUGCUCCUCGCGGUCAGAGCAGCGUUGAUGGUUGGAUUUCUAAAUCUUUUUCAGCUCCUUUGAAACGUCGCCGUGCGUUUCUGCGUGCGUUUCCCUCAAAACGCUGCUGAUCUUCAGGAAGUUCCUGCUUGUUCCGUUGGUUUUGGUCACUUUCACUGUUCUUGAAGCAUCAAACUGUUGAACAUCCACUGAAAAUGAAGGAAGAAGCUUCUUUUGGCUCCAAAGAUCAACAGUCUGUGGCAAAUACUUGGCCUUUAAAGGGGAGCAUUUAGGUAAUUAUUUGAUAUAAUUAUUGUUGCCACCUUACAAAGUUCAGGGCAAAACAUGUCUGUCACUCAGGACUGAUGUGGAGCAGAAAAGCUUUGACAGGAAGGAGCUGAAGUCUGAGUCUGAUAGCCAUCCAUCAUGACGUGCACGCUCAGAAUGUGCACGCUCUGAGUGUGCACGCUCAGAAUGUGCACGCUCUGAGUGUGCACACUCAGAAUGUGCACGCUCUGAGUGUGCACGCUCUGAGUGUGCACGCUCAGAAUGUGCACGUUCUGCUGCAGCUUCCCUCUGAGCUCAGCUGGAACAGAACCCCGGCGCCGCGUUUGUUCCAUUCAUCCUUCGGACAGACUUUUACAUAAGAGCAGCUCAAAGGGCCGAGGUAGAGCCUGAGCAGGGCAAGGUCCAAACUACCCCAGCAAGCAGGAUUUAUCAGAACAGACUUUAAACUGCCCCGUUACUGAUCAACCUGCAGCAGCCGCCGCUGCACGGACGCUGCAGCACGCUGACGCCACCUCUGAACCCACCAGACUGGGAGCUGCCAGAACGCCACGGCGACCCGGUUUUUCAGCCAAUGACCACGGCGUCAAACCCGGUCGGGCCCAAAACAUUCGGGCAUUCUUGGCUGCAUUUGAUCCGCUGGUUCACUUUCUCAGCCUCCAUUUGAAUGAAGGGAGAAAAUCCCAAAUUCUUCAAGCUUGCUCAGCGGUUCAGAGAUCCAAACUUUGUCCUGGAGGAACCGGGUGCCGGAACCAGAGCCGGACUGAACAGAAGAGCCAUGAAAACAUGGAUUCAGCUUUUUCACAUCCUGUCAGUUUCACGAUUUAAAGAUUCAGGUUCAUGUUUUGGAAAUAAAAUGAUCUGUUUUCCGCCGUUUGCUUUGUACAAUCUGGAUGUUCAGCCUUUAUUUCACAGGUCAAGAACUUAACAUCUUUAGUUUCCAUCACAACCGUUUCUGUUUACUGUCAAACUAGUUUUACUCCAAACAGGAAAGUCAGAAUUUUCCACUUUUUCUAUUAAAAUCUGUACUUUUGCUUUAUGCUUUUGAUCUGGAACUUUUAUUUUAGAAUUCUGUGAUGAAGUCUAACUUCACAUUAACGAGCGUUCACAACAUUCAACUUUUUCUCUUCUAUUUCAUUUCUUUUAGGCCACCAUCAAAAUCCUCUAAGAAUUAAUGUAGCUCCUCCCACAUAUGCCCCGCCCCCUUGCAGCAUACACCUCAGGUGUGCCACAGCUGCUAGUCUUUGGUUUUGGUGUGUUUUGAUUGAUGCUCUGUUUCUAGUUCGAGGAUUUUUCUAACUCUUUGUGUUUUCCGUGUUUUUGGAGUUUCUUCACACUGUGUGACGACUUUUUGUCUUCACAUCUUCUGGACCUACGUCCAUCUAGACUCACUGAGAUCACCCACAUCUCAGCUGGUGGAGUACAAAGUGCUGGACGGGGUGGUAGGACGGUCAGCUGUCAGACCUCCGAUCUUCUCUGAUUGGUCGUAUUUCACCGUCUGAGUAAAACUGGAAUAAUGUGUGACCAUGAAGGAGAACUUUCUCUCCUCUGCUGCUGGUCACAGAGUCGCAGCAGAGCCACAAAUCAUUAACCGAGGUGACGCUAAAAACGUCCCAGAGAAGAAUAGGAGCCGGUUUUUGUUGGGCCGGUCAGAGGAUGGAAAUUUACAGCAGAGCUGAAGAUCUCAUGACAUUCAAGAACAUUUUUACCAAGGGGGCCGGUGGGAAACUGGUGGAAGAAGGAGGGGAGGAAGACAUGCUGGUAGGAAGAGAGAGAAGAGUCAUGAGUGUUGGACUGAGACUAUGCGCUCUGACGGUUGGAACUAUGACAGGUGAAGGUAGAGCCGGCGUCCAGAGCCGACGCCGCUCUGGGGUUGAAUGAGCGUAACUCUCCGAUCACUCUACGCGUCCAAUGAUGAAGCAGCUUUUCUCUCUACAAUUCUCUGGAAUGAUUAAUGGUCGAAGAGUUACAGUAAUUCAUAGGCUGUGUCCGAAAUCCCUCACUACACGCUGAACUACAUCGGCCAUUUUUUCCGAUCUCCACCACAUCGUGACCCUAACAAAGGAAAGAGGACAUAAGGAUCACUGACCGUCUUUUCCUCCAUUCCCCACAUAAUGACAUGAAGCAGCAGAGCCACAACCAUUAAAGGAAGCUGUCGGUCAACUUCCAUGUACAGAUAUCUGCAGAUCUACAUGACGGUCUGACGUCUCUGAAGGUCAGCGGGACAUUUAAGACAGUAACUGUGAAAGUCCACGAGGGAUUCCACCUUCCGAGCUCUGAUGGUGAAGACAUGACGGCAUCAAAGCACCGAGCUUUUUUCAAAAGUACCAGUUCUGUUUGAAGCCUAAAGACUCUCAAACUGAAUUUGCUGUGUUUUCAUUGAAACAGUCAAAGUUAAUGUCCUUCGUAUUGAAACUGUUUUGUAAUUAAAGGAGUUUUAACCAUUGA